UGGGGAAUUUUGGACAAUGGGGGCAACCCUGAUCCAGCAAUGCCGCGUGUGUGAAGAAGGCCUUCGGGUUGUAAAGCACUUUUGUCCGGAAAGAAAACGCCGUGGUUAAUACCCGUGGCGGAUGACGGUACCGGAAGAAUAAGCACCGGCUAACUACGUGCCAGCAGCCGCGGUAAUACGUAGGGUGCAAGCGUUAAUCGGAAUUACUGGGCGUAAAGCGUGCGCAGGCGGUCCGCUAAGACAGAUGUGAAAUCCCCGGGCUUAACCUGGGAACUGCAUUUGUGACUGGCGGGCUAGAGUAUGGCAGAGGGGGGUAGAAUUCCACGUGUAGCAGUGAAAUGCGUAGAGAUGUGGAGGAAUACCGAUGGCGAAGGCAGCCCCCUGGGCCAAUACUGACGCUCAUGCACGAAAGCGUGGGGAGCAAACAGGAUUAGAUACCCUGGUAGUCCACGCCCUAAACGAUGUCAACUAGUUGUUGGGGAUUCAUUUCCUUAGUAACGUAGCUAACGCGUGAAGUUGACCGCCUGGGGAGUACGGUCGCAAGAUUAAAACUUAAAGGAAUUGACGGGGUCAUAGCUGUUUCCU
rnacentral:rRNA from 1 species